AGUGUGUGGGCCUUGGUGCACUGCUGUCUGGUAUGCCACCAGCUCCAGAUCCUUGUUGAUGGGACAGUGCCAUCUAGCAUGAGUGGCCUUUGUAUGGGGCUUCUGGAUACUGUGGACACCAUCUAGGGAUACUUUCUCCUGAAGCCCUGCAGCCAUGUUGUGAGGAUGUCCAGGCGAUGUGAAGAGUCCUCCAGUAAGGUACCAGCCAAGGCCAGCAUCAACUACUAGUUGAGUGAGUCUUGAAAUUGUACAGCCCCUAGCCUUCAAGUCAUUCCAGCUGACACCAAGUGGUACAGAGAUGAGCUUCUGCCAUCAAUCCCUGCUCAAACUGCAGCUUUGAAUGUUAUUCAAAAUAAAUCAAUUUUUUAAAAGAGAGUUUAAAGCUUAAAGAAGAGUGACCCCAGCAUGGCGGCAUUAUAAGGUAGCUUUAUUA